GGCAACUGGGCAAAUUUUCCUCUGGACUCACCGCUCGUCACCACUGCCCUGGAUGUCGCCUUCCAUCGCUGUCGCCGCGUCCCCGGGGUGUCCCCGACCCUCCGGCAAGGCCUCUGCUUCCCCGGCAUCCUCGCUCUCCGACGCCGCUCCUAUUGGAUGACGGGACGGCGUGCGCAGCGACGUGAUGACGUUGGAGGAGAGCGCUGGCGAUGCAGGGAUCCCGAAGCGGACGCGCCGGAGCCCCGAGGACAGACGAUUCCAGGGGUAAGAUGAAGAAAUAUGAGGGAGCAAGCAGAGAUCUUGAAACUAGUGAGAAAUUGGAAGAUAUAGUUUAAAGCUGCAGAAGAACUUACAUAAGACUUAAUGACCUUUUUAAGAAAAGCAAAGUAAGGAUAAAGGACGGCAGGUAAAAUAAGGAGCAGCGAAGACGUCGCCUGGAAAUGCUGAUGCUGCCAAUGUUAACUUGAUGGCCCUUGAAGUCGAUGAUGAGCGUCCCAUGAAUCCCGGUGACAGCCGUCGCUAGGUGAAGGACAUAUAGUAAAGAUGAGGCCGCGGUGUAAUCUAGAGAGAGGGACACAGAGCGUUUCCCGAAUACAAUCCUGGCCAAGAGCUGGAAUCGACCGUCACCCAAUUAGAUUUGCGCUCCCCCCCCCCCCCCCCCCCAAGGAACUGUAAACAUGGAGUUGCCUUGGCAUAGAAGAAGAUGGGGGGGAGGGGCGUCUAGUAUUUGGGACCUUUGCCAUUCGGCGCUGCAGGGAUCAACUUAAAAUUUGAUCUCGUAGUGAUUGGAACAUCGGCAAUUGUGUAUCCGCGACGCUGGCCCCAGAUACCUCCGCCACGGUGAUCAGAUUACCGCUCAGCCGAGACCUGAGACACCACGAAAAAGGUCACUCUCAAAAUAGGAAUUAAUGAGAGAUGACACUCGACAGCACCGCUGCAAAACAACUUUCCGCUAAAUACACGAUUCUCCUGGCACAUUAAAUGAUCCCAUAAAGUGGAUCCGCAAACACUUUACGGCACAGAACAUACUGUUACAAUGUUUAUUGUGUAAUGUAGGAACGAGCGCCGGUGUCAAUUAGGAGGAUUGGGAUACGGUUACAUAAAAGGGGCUUAAUGGACGAAAUUCUUGCAUUUUUCCUUUAUCGGCGCAGAGGUGAAUUAAAGGGUCUGCACGCUCAUCCAGACUUUGCAAAAACAUCCUUCCAUUCUGUGUCCAGCAUAGACCUGUGUGUUUCCAUAGUUACAGACUACA